GGAGAGGUACCGAAGCGGUCAUAACGGCGCUGACUCGAAAUCAGAUGGGGGCGCAAGCCCCACGGGGGUUCGAAUCCCUCCCUCUCCG
rnacentral:tRNA from 1 species